GACCGGCGCACGGGUGAGUAACGCGUAUGCAACCUACCCUUAACAGGGGGAUAGCCCGGGGAAACUCGGAUUAAUACCCCAUAAAAUAAUAAUAUUGCAUGAUAUAAUUAUUAAAGUUCCGGCGGUUAAGGAUGGGCAUGCGUGCCAUUAGGUAGUUGGUAGGGUAACGGCCUACCAAGCCGACGAUGGCUACGGGGUCUAAAAGGAUGGUCCCGCACACUGGUACUGAGACACGGACCAGACUCCUACGGGAGGCAGCAGUGAGGAAUAUUGGUCAAUGGGGGCAACCCUGAACCAGCCAUGCCGCGUGAAGGAAGACGGCCCUAUGGGUUGUAAACUUCUUUUGUAUGGGAAUAACUACAGGUACGUGUACUUGUUUGAAUGUACUAUACGAAUAAGCAUCGGCUAACUCCGUGCCAGCAGCCGCGGUAAUACGGAGGAUGCAGGCGUUAUCCGGAUUUAUUAGGUUUAAAGGGUGCGUAGGCGGCCUUUUAAGUCAGUGGUGAAAGUUUGCGGCUUAACCGUAAAAUUGCCAUUGAUACUGGGAGGCUUGAAUGAAGUAGAGGCAGGCGGAAUGUGUAGUGUAGCGGUGAAAUGCUUAGAUAUUACACAGAACACCGAUUGCGAAGGCAGCUUGCUAUGCUUAAAUUGACGCUGAGGCACGAAAGCGUGGGUAGCGAACAGGAUUAGAU
rnacentral:rRNA from 1 species